rnacentral:rRNA from 1 species
AGUGAACGCUUUCUUUCUUCCUAACACAUGCAAGUCGAACGGCAGCACAGUAAGAGCUUGCUCUUACGGGUGGCGAGUGGCGGACGGGUGAGGAAUACAUCGGAAUCUACUUUUUCGUGGGGGAUAACGUAGGGAAACUUACGCUAAUACCGCAUACGACCUACGGGUGAAAUCAGGGGAUCUUCGGACCUUGCGCGUUUGAAUGAGCCGAUGUCGGAUUAGCUAGUUGGCGGGGUAAAGGCCCACCAAGGCGACGAUCCGUAGCUGGUCUGAGAGGAUGAUCAGCCACACUGGAACUGAGACACGGUCCAGACUCCUACGGGAGGCAGCAGUGGGGAAUAUUGGACAAUGGGCGCAAGCCUGAUCCAGCCAUACCGCGUGGGUGAAGAAGGCCUUCGGGUUGUAAAGCCCUUUUGUUGGGAAAGAAAAGCAGCAGGUUAAUACCCCGCUGUUCUGACGGUACCCAAAGAAUAAGCACAGGCUAACUUCGGG